UGAGGAGUGAACUUGGACAUAAAUUAGCCAACAAAAGCUGUAAUCUAAAGUUGAGGUGUUGAGGCUUUUAUGAAGUUUUCUUAUGAAGUUCUUAUGCCACAGUCUGAUUUUCGCCACUGGAGCUACAGCUAGGUGGGUGUGUGUGUGUGUGUGUGUUUUUUUUUUUUUUUUCUUUGAAAGAAAAAUGUAGAAACAAGCAUGUCAAAUGUUUGAGGUCUAGGCCUUUUUAUCCGAGCUUGAGAUAUCCUUUGAUUUACUAGGUUUGUGAAUGGGAAAGUUUUGUUGUUUAGUGUAUUGGUGUGGUCCCUCUCCUUCCCUGCUCUAUUAUUAUUAUUAUUUCUAUAGGCUUAUUAAUUUCAUACCCAAAAAAAACAUAUUCAGGGUAGGUUUGACAUGGACUGGUUAUCUCCUCUAGAGUUGAAGGUGAUGGUAUGUGAUAUAAAAAGCACAUGAAAAAAAUUGCCGUUGUAGAGGUCGGAAGCCAAGUUGCUUUCAUGAGUUGAGUUAAUUAAACUUGUCAGCGCCUUGCUGUAGAAAUUGUUGCAAAUAUAUGACAGGCUUGCUGCCUUGUUAAUGAUUUUCAAGUUGAUAUUUCUAUAACUAUAUCAAAAUGGUUUGUAUAAGUCCUUUAUAUUAUUAUUCGUUUUCGGGGAUCAUUUAAAUCUUGUUAAAAUGUUUAAGAAGCAACUAGUAAUGUUUUUACAUACAAAUCUUUUUCGAGGCUCAGCAAACAGAACUGUGAAAUUUUGGGAUUUGGAAACCUUUGAACUGAUUGGAUAUACAAGCCUCGGAGUCACCGCAUUCGACAUCUAUUUGGUGAGCGAGCAGGUCUGCAGACGAAGAGAGCUUGGGAGAGAGAAGAGAAAGCGAGAGAGAGUGGGUCUGCAGAUUGUGUUCUUUCUUAUAUUUUUUAUCAUUAAAGAAUGUUGCACUCAACAUGUUCUAUGGUGCAAUACAUUGUUAAAAAAUAAUUGUAAAUUUGGAUGAUUUGUGAAAGAAAAAUUUAAACGCAAUUUUGAUGAUAAUUAAAAAGAUCCUCACCUUAAAAGCA